CCUACGGGAGGCAGCAGUCGGGAAUCUUGCACAAUGGGCGAAAGCCUGAUGCAGCAACGCCGUGUGAGCGAUGAAGGCCUUAGGGUCGUAAAGCUCUGUUGUUAGGGACGAAGGGCGAAGGGUUAAUAGCCCUUAGCCUGACGGUACUUGUACAGAAAGCCCCGGCUAACUACGUGCCAGCAGCCGCGGUAAUACGUAGGGGGCGAGCGUUGUCCGGAAUUAUUGGGCGUAAAGAGCGUGUAGGCGGCUUGGUAAGUCUGCUGUGAAACCUUGGGGCUCAACCCCAAGCGUGCAGUGGAUACUGUCAAGCUAGAGGAUGGUAGAGGCCAGUGGAAUUCCCGGUGUAGCGGUGAAAUGCGCAGAUAUCGGGAGGAACACCAGUAGCGAAGGCGGCUGGCUGGGCCAUUCCUGACGCUGAGACGCGAAAGCUAGGGGAGCGAACAGGAUUAGAUACCCUGGUAGUCCUAGCCGUAAACGAUGAGCACUAGGUGUGGGGGGAGUCGAAUCCCUCCGUGCCGAAGCCAACGCGUUAAGUGUUCCGCCUGGGGAGUACGGCCGCAAGGCUAAAACUCAAAUGAAUUGACGGGG
rnacentral:rRNA from 1 species